CCUACGGGAGGCAGCAGUGAGGAAUAUUGGCCAAUGGGCGAGAGCCUGAACCAGCCAAGUCGCGUGAGGGAGUACUGCCCUAUGGGUUGUAAACCUCUUUUGUCGGGGAGCAAAAGCCGGACGUGUCCGGCUGUGAGAGUACCCGAAGAAAAAGCAUCGGCUAACUCCGUGCCAGCAGCCGCGGUAAUACGGAGGAUGCGAGCGUUAUCCGGAUUUAUUGGGUUUAAAGGGUGCGCAGGCGGAUUUUUAAGUCAGCGGUAAAAUCGUGGGGCUCAACCCCAUCCAGCCGUUGAAACUGGGGAUCUAGAGUGUGCGAGAGGUAUGCGGAAUGCGUGGUGUAGCGGUGAAAUGCAUAGAUAUCACGCAGAACCCCGAUUGCGAAGGCAGCAUACCGGUGCACAACUGACGCUCAGGCACGAAAGCGUGGGUAUCGAACAGGAUUAGAUACCCCUGUAGUC
rnacentral:rRNA from 1 species